rnacentral:misc_RNA from 1 species
CAGAGUUGAAAAGCUCCCUAACCCUUUGUUUACAUACCUGUUCAGUUGCUUCGGCAGGCGGCCCCAGGGCGGGGCCUCCAGCCUGCUCACGCAGGUGCCUGCCGCUGGCGCAAAAAAAACUCUUGUUAUAUAUUACCACUCUGAGUCUAAAAACAAAUGAAUCA